CGUUGCCCCCUCACGCACCGCCUCCCCGUUCCCGCCCCGGCCAAAGCUCCGCAAUCCCCGCCUCAGGCUCUGCCUUGUAGGGUGGGCUCUUGAAGUAAAGGCGCUGGAGGCGGAGAGUAUUUCUGCUUGUCCGUCUGUUUUUGGGAUAAGCGGUGCUUGAUGUGGAUUCCGCAGUGCUGGUGGCUGACAUUCCUUCCCGGGCGCUGCUGGCUGCCGCUCCCUGCCAGAAAGCAUGAAAACAGUACAAAGAGAAGAAUGAAGAAAUAAGUUAUAAGCAGCAGUCUGACCACAGAAAAUUAGCUGACCCUUAUGUUCUCUAGCAGCUGUACGGAUAUACACUAUCAAAGGAAAACUGUGUGGUAAGCAUGUUUAAAAAGUUGCGUUUAACCGUUCAUGGUGAAGCUGUAACUGCUGAACUGAUGGAAGACAUGUGGUUUUAUUUUUGUAAUGGAAAAGAGGACAAUUUACUAUCUCUCAGUCCAGCAUUCCCAAAAUUCUGAUGCUUUUUGAUCCAGCAUGAGCUAAGACAACUUUAGCAAGGCCAGAGGCUUUUCACCCAAAAGCAGACCACAGGAAUUUGAAGAGUGAAGCUGAAUGAAGCCAUGGAAGUGAGUCAGAGAGGAGCAGCAGCAGCAAAACCUCAUUCAGAAUGCACCCAUCCCCGCCAAGUGACUCGGGGAAGAAGCGGCGAGCAGAUGGUGCGAGCGGCUCGGGAGCGGGAGCGCAGCGAGC